UUAUGUUAGCUUUGUGCGCAUGCGCGUUAUGUUCCGUUGCCUCGGCGCCAAAGCCCAAAGCAAGUUUUACAGAAUCCAGUCAGAUUGAAGCAAGACGCCAGAGCCGGAUUUCUGUACAUCCAUUUGCACAGUACUGUACAACAAGUUUUCUAUGCUGAGUUCCUUGGUCAGGGGUUAAACACAUUUUCUGUCCAGUACUGCAGUUGGAAUUUUCCAUCAACAUUUUUAUGACAACCGAUGUCCAAAGAGCGUCUUUUCUUCAAGCUCUCUUUACUUACCUUGGUGAGGAUGAGGCAUGCCUGGUGAAAGAAUACAUGGGCAACCAAAAAGAAGAAUUUUUGAAGGACCUGGCAACAACACCACCAUGGCCAUAUGUGUCAUCAAAAAGGAAAGAGGAGAUUAUGAGGACAUUGGCAUCGUUGUUGAUGGAACAGUGAUGGAACAGAUAAAAUCUGUUGCACAAGCCUGUGCACUGAUGUUGGGGGCAAUUUAUGUGCUUGAUUUGGCCUACCCAAAAGAACUCAAAUACUAUUACAAGUUUGCCCAAAAAGUACUUGUGCAAAUGAACUCUGACAAGCUCUCUUCAAAGGUUCUCAGACUGGAAAACAGCGUGAUACUGUAAUUUUAAGCAUUGAAGUGUUGAUAAAUGCUCAACAACCAAAUGUAUAUCAUAUACAAAUAGCAGUUUAGUGUAGGAAUUGUUUAAUAAGUGAAUUCAGUUUUCUUUGUGUGCAAAAUUAAUUAGCUGUAGGAACUUCUUUUAAAUGGUGUGUGUGUGUGUGUGUGUGUGUGUGCGUGCGUGUGAGCGAGAGAGCAUGUGCAUUCUAUAAACUUUGUAUUUAUUCCAUUUCAUACAACUUGUAGUUGCUCAAUAUGUUAAUGAGUUAAUUUUUUAAGUUAAUUAGUUGAUUUUUUUUUGUGUAUUGGGGUGUGUGUGUCAUAAGGAUUGCAGUUUGCUCUAAGACUUCAUACAGUUUUCUUUUAUGUGUUGGUUUAAAUUAAAUGUGCUGUACAAACUGUUUAUUGUUUUAUGGUGUGGUGCUAAAGCAUUUAUAGGCAGUGAUUUAUGUUUUGUUAAAAAAUGCAUCUUAAAAGUCAUUAAAAUGAAUUCAAAACAAAUGUGGUCAAGUGUCAUUU